GGGCGUUAAGUUGCAGGGUAUAGACCCGAAACCCGGUGAUCUAGCCAUGGGCAGGUUGAAGGUUGGGUAACACUAACUGGAGGACCGAACCGACUAAUGUUGAAAAAUUAGCGGAUGACCUGUGGCUGGGGGUGAAAGGCCAAUCAAACCGGGAGAUAGCUGGUUCUCCCCGAAAGCUAUUUAGGUAGCGCCUCGUGAAUUCAUCUCCGGGGGUAGAGCACUGUUUCGGCUAGGGGGCCAUCCCGGCUUACCAACCCGAUGCAAACUGCGAAUACCGGAGAAUGUUAUCACGGGAGACACACGGCGGGUGCUAACGUCCGUCGUGAAGAGGGAAACAACCCAGACCGCCAGCUAAGGUCCCAAAGUCAUGGUUAAGUGGGAAACGAUGUGGGAAGGCCCAGACAGCCAGGAUGUUGGCUUAGAAGCAGCCAUCAUUUAAAGAAAGCGUAAUAGCUCACUGGUCGAGUCGGCCUGCGCGGAAGAUGUAACGGGGCUAAACCAUGCACCGAAGCUGCGGCAGCGACGCUUAUGCGUUGUUGGGUAGGGGAGCGUUCUGUAAGCCUGCGAAGGUGGCCUGUGAGGGUUGCUGGAGGUAUCAGAAGUGCGAAUGCUGACAUAAGUAACGAUAAAGCGGGUGAAAAGCCCGCUCGCCGGAAGACCAAGGGUUCCUGUCCAACGUUAAUCGGGGCAGGGUGAGUCGACCCCUAAGGC
rnacentral:rRNA from 1 species